rnacentral:rRNA from 1 species
UGAGUAACCUGCCCUUCACUCUGGGAUAACUCCGGGAAACCGGGGCUAAUACUGGAUACGACUCGAACAGGCAUCUGUAUCGGGUGGAAAGAUUUAUUGGUGGAGGAUGGACUCGCGGCCUAUCAGCUUGUUGGUGAGGUAAUGGCUCACCAAGGCGACGACGGGUAGCCGGCCUGAGAGGGCGAUCGGCCACACGUGGGACUGAGACACGGCCCAGACUCCGUACGGGNGCA